CCCUUAGAUGUUCUGGGCCGCACGCGUGCUACACUGAGUGGAUCAGCGGGUCAGGUUGCGCGAAAGUGUUUCCUAAUCUUGAAAUCCGCUCGUGAUGGGGAUUGACGGUUGCAAUUUUCCGUCAUGAACGAGGAAUACCUUGUAAGCGCGGGUCAUCAUCCCGCGCUGAAUACGUCCCUGCCCUUUGUACACACCGCUCGUCGCUCCUACCGAUUGAGUGGUCCGGUGAGGCUUUGGGAUCUGAGCGGAAAGAGCGUUUCGCUGUUUCUGCUCGGAAAACUCAGUCGAACCUUAUCAUUUAGAGGAAGGAGAAGUCGUAACA
rnacentral:rRNA from 1 species